rnacentral:RNase_P_RNA from 1 species
CCAGAGGAUUGGACGGCCGCCGCCGUGGUGACACGGGGGAGGAAAGUCCGGGCUCCACGCAACGACGGUGCCGGGUAACCCCCGGCGGGGGCGACCCCAGGGACAGUGCCACAGAGAGCAGACCGCCGAUGGGUAUUUUCGGAUAUCACAGGCAAGGCUGAAAGGGUGCGGUAAGAGCGCACCGCGCGACGGGUAACCCGAGCGGCAAGGUAAACCCCACCGGGAGCAAGACCGCAUAGGGGCGGCACCGGUCCGGACCCUCGGGUGCGGACCAGGGCAGGAAGCGGCCCGAUCGCCCGGGUUGGUUGCUUGAGGCGGUCAGUAAUGGCCGUCCUAGAGGAAUGGCCGUCCACGAGGCUUCGGCCUCCGGACAGAACCCGGCUUACAGGUCCUCUGGUGCG